GAGAUCUCACACAGGAAACUGCUAUCCAGAGUGGUGUCCGCAGAGCUGGUGGCAUUCGGGGCCUGGUUGGGCAGGACGCCUGAACCUGAACUGGCUCAGGUGCGGUGGGUGCGGUGGAGCUGGCUGGGGUCUCUGAUGCACUUGCCUGAGCUGCGUGCUGCUUACCUCUGUCUUCUGAAACCAAACCAAGGGCAUGUUCUUCCAGAUGACUGUUAUGUCACAGGUGACAUCUGGGGAACCCAAGAGUGCCAGGGAAGAGUCUCCCUAAAGCUGUGGACACCUGGCUGCUGCCCUGACAAGGCAUCUAUCUGGUUUCCCACAAAAUGAGAUCUCAGAACACAUCACUCACUGGUCAGAGGACUACUUAAUAAACUGUGACCAACAGCAACUGAGAACAACCACUUCCAACCACCAACAUUUAUAUUCCUUCUGAAAGAUUCCCAGAUUCCAAAUAUCAGGCAAUUGCAGAAACUAUCUGCAGCUGCCAAAAUCACACCCCCUCCAGAGCAUGAGGCAAAUCAUAGCCAGCUGCUGUUAUGAAGCAGCCCCCCAUAUCCCACAUCUGUGAUUAAAAUGAAAACACAUUCUUAUAA
rnacentral:lncRNA from 1 species